UGCUCUGAUGACACGGCUAAUAGGAAGUGCCGUCAGAAUCGAUAACUGACGACGAGAAGCCUGGGCUGACU
ensembl:snoRNA small nucleolar RNA, C/D box 49A